UACCAUACUCCCAAACCCGAGUCAAGGC
rnacentral:piRNA from 1 species